rnacentral:rRNA from 1 species
AUUGAACGCUGGCGGCAGGCCUAACACAUGCAAGUCGAGCGGAGCGGCGGACGGGUGAGUAAUGCCUAGGAAUCUGCCUGGUAGUGGGGGAUAACGUCCGGAAACGGGCGCUAAUACCGCAUACUCUCAGAUGAGCCUAGGUCGGAUUAGCUAGUUGGUGGGGUAAAGGCCUACGAGGGCGAAGAUCCGUAACUGGUCGGAGAGGAUGAUCAGGCACAAUGGAACUGAGAAACGGUCCAGACUCCGGCGGGAGGAAGCAGUGGGGAAUAUUGGACAAUGGGCGAAAGACUGAUCCAGGCAGGCCGCGUGUGGGAAGAAGGUCUUCGGAUUGUAAAGCACUUUAAGUUGGGAGGCGUUACCAACAGAAUAAGCACCGGCUAACUUCGUGCCAGCAGCCGCGGUAAUAC